UCGUUUGGCUGACAGUCGAUCUACGUGGACUUGGUGGAGCAGGACGCUGAGCCAUUAGGAUAAUGACAAGAAGAAGAAAAUUCAGACUGAAGGUGGAGAUGCUAAAGUAAACCAUUUUGAAUAAAUACUGAGGAAUCCAGGGGAAAAAUACGAAAUUAUUUAUAACAAAAUUGUAUUCUUUAGUGUAAUCAAAUAGGAUUAUUUACCAAAGCAUUUAAAAUCGCAUUAUCUCCACUUGCACAAUUUACGCCCAUUAGAAAAUAUUUGCAGAAGCGUGAAAUUAAUAAUUUAUAAUUAGUGGUAAAUUUUGUAAGUGAAUCAAAAGGAACAAAUUUAAUUAAAUAUAGCAUCAUGGAGGGAUUUCUUGGUUUCCAAUAUCUUAAACUUCCUGUAAAAGAGUGGACCAGUUUCAAAAGUAAAAGCCUUUUUAUUCGAGCAUUCAUUAUUCAUAAAGAUUUUUUGUUUUAUGGAAGGUGGUAGCAGUUCAUAAAGAUCGAAUAGGACAGGACAUUGAGCCAUAAGGAUAAUGACUACAAAAAGAACAUUCAGACAGAAGAUGGAGAUGGUAAAACAAAUUGAAUUAUUACCAAAUCAUUUACAAAUGCAGUAACCUUAAGAUUGGGUUGGUAACGCCGAAUGGCCAGACCACCUCAGAACAGCUGUUAAACAACGACGUGGCAAGCGAUCCAUAAGAGUCGAGGUGGCAGCGACCCACAAGAUAACGACGUGGCAACGCUACUACGAGACGACGACGAAGAACACCUUUUAGAACGAGCCCACAACGAGAAAACGUCUAUAUAAAGAAGUAAAGAAGAAGUUCAGAAGUUCAAAGACGAAUGAGAAACGACGCUCUCAUUAAAAACCUAGAGACGAAACAAUUACCAUUCAAUGCAAUCCUUUUGUAUAGUUACUAAAACCUAAUUAUAAUCUAAAAUACUUAAAACGUAUCACCAUAUAACUAAAUACAAA